rnacentral:lncRNA from 1 species
CAGGCACUCAGGCCACCAUCUUAUAUCUCAAUCUGUGUAAAUGAACACAGUACAGUAAACUGAAAGCGAAUUAACAUCUUUCCACUGGUAAAAUCCCAGCUGUGUGUUUCUUCUUUAUUAUCUAGCUCGCUAUAUUGUUAUUUCUAUUUAAUUUGCGCUGUUUCGUGUUUGUAUUGUGCCAUUCAUUGGCAGAAAUUUACCCCAUUUGAGCAAUUUAAAAGAGCCAAUUGAGUAUCACUUCACGACUGAGGCUUAAGUCUAGUCUGAAAGAAACUGUGUCACCCAAUAGCGUGGGCUUCAUUGUGUCUCUGAAAGGCCUAAGUGGCGCGCUGGUUAUUGUCUUCUUUAAAGGGGAGUCGGGUUACUGUGGCAACUACAGGAUGCCGACCACCAGGCCCUGAGACAGCGAGAGAAGGGGGAAAGAAAGUGAAACAAAAACGGAGGCAAAACGCUUCCAGGCCCCAGCUUUAUUUUCUUUUUUUUUUGUAGGAGUUUUUGGGAGGCCGAGGCCUGCAAGUGGGCCAGGGUGAAGACCAGAGGAGCUUCCUGUGAACAGAGGGUCAUGCAUGUUGCGCUGCGGCCUCGCAGCGGCUGCCUGCUACUGUGUCUGUGUCUGUCGGUGCUGACCAUGCUGCUGCAGAACCUCUGGAUGCCUCUCGACAUUACCCGAGAUGAUGCGACCGGAAGGUCACCUCAAGAACAAGGUCAGCGUGGCCACACAUUCCAUAGGUUGGCUGUUCGCUUGGAGGCUUUGAGCACUCAGGUGCAGAGGCUGAGCAGAGAGAGAGAUAAGAGUCAGCUGACGGGAAACCACCUGAGCCUGCUGCUGCAGGGGUAUUCCGCACUUACCCUUCAUACACCGUGGAGACGCUGUCUCAUGGCGGACGUUCAUGCAGUGUGUUGCUGCAUGUGUUUUUGUCUUCCAGCUUCAGGCGGAACCAACAAGGCUUGGCUCAGUUAGUAGAAAAAGAGCUGAAGAAAGUGUCACAGCAACUGGACACGCUCAGCCGCCUCCAUCACCCCGAAUCCCACAUGCUGUCCCCUCUUGAUGCCCUCAACCUGCGCACAGGUGAAGCCCUGAUUCUCUAUCUUCUUAAAAACAGCUCCCAAGGGUGAGGACAAAGCACCUGGAUUGCCCUCUAGUGGCUGGCUAGUGAAAUGGAAGAAGCCCGCUUGGUUUUUAUUUGACACCCAACAUUUUUCACAACACAAUUUAUAUCCGAUACAAUGUGAAGAUCCACUCGUCAUUUAGAUGCUGGUUGACAGACAGCAAGAUGGCGGCAGUCAGUGUUGUCUGUUCAAUAAUCGGCUAAUAUUAGUUUAUUCUGUUGCUGGCUGUCAUGGUUGAUUGACAUUCUGUGCGAAAUACAUGGUUCAAAUACUCACUAAACGUUAACUACACAGUGAAAUUAACAAGCUGUGAUAAUGGAGGCAAAUGGGAGGGCGGUCAAAGGGCAUUGGGUGCAGGUGGUUAUGGGGGAUGGAGUCCUUGAAUAGAAGUUUAACAAGCCCCAUAGAAUGACGGUUGAUCAACCGGCUCUGGGGAGAAAAAAAGAGUUGACAUCUAUAAGGUGACCCUCAGGUAAGAGUCAGCAUGCACAUCGGGUUAGCACAUAAGGGUCAGUUUGUGCGUGCGUGCGUGUGUGUGUGUGUGUGUGUGGAGAUUGGUGGUGAUGGGUUUUCUUCCCUGAAAAAUGGACACAUGGCCUGUGUCUGUAUGACCUCUUCCCUGAAAAAUGGACACAUGGCCUGUGUCUGUAUGACCUACAGUACACACACACACACACACCACCCACAUGCACGCAAACAGACACCUGCCCGUCAGCAGCCUGUCCUCCUCCCACCCACCUCUGGCAUUACCUCACACCCAUAAAACACAGCUGAAUUACCCAGGAGUCCUUUCACUACGGUGUCGACUUAGUCUCUUGUUUUUGCUGAGGGAGGCACUUUUUUUAAGAUGCGUGUCUAUUAUAUGUCACUCUCUUCAUGCUUUCACACCUGAGCUAUGCCAUUUGGGUUUUUUCUGUUUUACUAGGUUGUUUUAUAAAGUUAAAUAUUGUAUCUUUUGGCAUGGGCUAGCAUUGUAAAAGGGUAUGUUUGGUAGGAGGCAGGUUGGUCAAGUGUGUGUCUGUGUGUGCAUUUCAGAUGAUUGACACUGGGAGUAGAUGGUGGGGGUGCUCACAGGAAACGGCCUCUGAGAACACAU